rnacentral:tRNA from 6 species
GGGGCACUAGCUCAAUUGGCAGAGCGCGGGACUCCAAAUUCCGCGGUUGGGGGUUCGACUCCUCCGUGCCCCG